CUUCCCUACAUCGCUCGAAACUGACAUACUGAUAUCGCGGUUAACCGCUGUCGAAAUUUGUACGUAUCCACGGGAUUUCGUAGCUUUAUCGCACAUGAACUGCAAACUACUUGUGACGACGAUGGAGACUGCUCUAGCGCUAUUCCCACAAACUUAAAAUUUCUUUAGCCGAUAUCCAUAUAUUAUUUCGUUUUGAAAUUUGCAAACAUAAUGCCAAUCUCGU